rnacentral:rRNA from 1 species
UACGGAGGAUCCAAGCGUUAUCCGGAAUUACUGGGCGUAAAGAGUUGCGUAGGUGGCAUGGUAAGUUGAUAGUGAAAGCGUGCGGCUCAACCGCAUACACAUUAUCAAAACUGCCAAGCUAGAGGAUGAGAGAGGUUAUUGGAAUUCCUAGUGUAGGAGUGAAAUCCGUAGAUAUUAGGAGGAACACCGAUGGCGUAGGCAGAUAACUGGCUCGUUCCUGACACUAAGGCACGAAAGCGUGGGGAGCAAACGGG